ACGGCCGCAAGGUUAAAACUCAAAUGAAUUGACGGGGGCCCGCACAAGCGGUGGAGCAUGUGGUUUAAUUCGAUGCAACGCGAAGAACCUUACCUGGUCUUGACAUCCACGGAAGUUUUCAGAGAUGAGAAUGUGCCUUCGGGAACCGUGAGACAGGUGCUGCAUGGCUGUCGUCAGCUCGUGUUGUGAAAUGUUGGGUUAAGUCCCGCAACGAGCGCAACCCUUAUCCUUUGUUGCCAGCGGUCCGGCCGGGAACUCAAAGGAGACUGCCAGUGAUAAACUGGAGGAAGGUGGGGAUGACGUCAAGUCAUCAUGGCCCUUACGACCAGGGCUACACACGUGCUACAAUGGCGCAUACAAAGAGAAGCGACCUCGCGAGAGCAAGCGGACCUCAUAAAGUGCGUCGUAGUCCGGAUUGGAGUCUGCAACUCGACUCCAUGAAGUCGGAAUCGCUAGUAAUCGUGGAUCAGAAUGCCACGGUGAAUACGUUCCCGGGCCUUGUACACACCGCCCGUCACACCAUGGGAG
rnacentral:rRNA from 1 species